GGUAUAGCCAAGUGGUAAGGCAACGGACUUUGACUCCGUCAUUUCGUGGGUCCGAAUCCCGCUACC
rnacentral:tRNA from 1 species